GUGGCAGUGGUGCAGGAGAGAGAGAGGCAGGCCUGAGGGGGAAGAAGCACCAGGAGGUCCAGAAGGACGACCCUACGUUUAGAGCGGCAGGGUCACGGGUGCCUGUGCCCCACCUCUGCUCCCCGACCCCGUUCAGCCAGGACACCCCGCCUUACCCCACGGCCGGCAGGAGGUCUGCUCCCUGCAGAUGCUGAAUCAGAAGAGACCAAGGCUUAGGGCCCCCGGGUCCCCCGAAGGUGCUUGAGAAUCUGCCGUUGAGUGACUGUACCCUGAACCAUGAGAUUCUCCUGCUCCUGGAACACUCCCUUCUGACGUGUUCUAGAACACUGGCCGCCCAGCAAGUCUUCUGCACCCCAGUCGAUAGCCAAGGGAAUUACAGGCGGGGGGCUGAUGCGCCUGAAAGAAAGUCUAUGAUGUUGGGGUCCCUCCAGUGAGGCCCACACAUCAACACGGCCCACCCAGACACCCACACUUCCAAUCAGCCUUCUGGAGUCUGAAUAGGGACGCAUAGCCAACGCUCCCCUAACAUCUGAGCGACACCCUCCACGCCAGGCAGGGGCCCAAAUAAGACAAAACCAACCAGAGCUGAGCAACAGCCAGCGGGAGUGGAAAAGCAGACAGCACAAGAAGCAGAGGACGGCGGAGAUGUGCCUGCCCUCACCGCAUGGACCGUGCACAGUCAGAGCAGGGUGCUGUAUAAGUAAAGGACACGGUGGCAGAAUUUUUAAAUGUCAGUAGAUUAGAAGAUAAAGAUAUUUUCCACAAAAACAAAGAAGACAAAACAUUAGAAAAUACGUGAAAAAGAUAAGAAAAUAAGAAGGUCAUUGUAGCAGUCUGAUAUCCGAAGGGAGAAUCAAGAACAUGGGGUGGUGGAAGGAGCUGAGUUUACAAUCCGAAAGGACCCUGCUACGGGUUGAAUUGUGUCCCCCCAGAUUUGUGUGUUGAAGACCUAACCCCAGGACCUCAGAAGGUGGCCUCAUCUGGAAACAGCUAAGAUGAGGGCGCACUGGAGCUGGGUGGGCCCCAAUGCAACAGGACUGGGGUCCUUAUAAAAAUGCGAAAUUUGAUCACAGACGGUUACAGAUGGAUAGUCCCACAUGAAAACUGGAAUUAUGCUGCCACAAGCCAAGGAACGCCAAGGAUGAUGGCAGCCACCCGAACGUAAGAGAGAGGCCUGAACAGACUCUCUGCCACAGCCCUCGGAAGGAGCUGUCCUGCUGACACCGUGGUUUUGGACUUCUGGCCUCCAGAACCGUGAGACGAUAAAUUUCUGUUGUUUAAGCUGCCAAGUUUGUGCAACUUGUUCCAGCAGCCCCAGGAAACGGAUGCAGGCCCUUUGAACACCCAGAUCCGUGAAUGAGAACGCUCCCUAGGAGGCAGACUGCCACAAAGCUUCGGACACCAGUGACAGAGGAGCUUCUAAGCAUCCAGAGAAAACACAGGUUGAACAAGCGACAAGAAGGAGAAAGUGAAACUCAAUGGGAGCCUUCCGAAUUCAGAGAGAAUGUGACUUCCCACCUGGAUUCCGAGUCAAAUCAUCAACUGAGUGUGAGGUUGGAAAGGUCAAGUCCUGCGGACUCGAGCUGCUCAGGCCGAUCCAGCUGGAGAGCUGGAGAUAGAUUGGACAGACCCCACGGUGGAGGAGCCUGGAAGAUGCAGCUGCAGAAAUCCAGAGGAGGAAGAGUGAUGCUUGUCGCGGCCCACUCUUCGAGGGUUGGGACCAUCGCACACAUCCCUCUGCCGGAGGUCACAUUCCUGGAGUACAGCCUUCCUACAACAGUCCUCUCCCAGUUCUGGCUUCCCCUUUGGGCUCAGGACUGGUAGCGGCCCCAGAGACUGCACCGUCCUUCCCUCUUGGCUUAAUGCCUGCCCAGCCCUGUGUUAAACUUUCCUUAAAUCACCCAGGUUGCACCAACUGUUUUCUGCGGGGACUCUGGCUAACCCGUCUCUAGCUCUGUGUGAGGUGAUGAGGAUCUCAACAUCAGAUGACUUUGCGCUCCGCGCCCCCUACUCCCACACACCACAGUGUCCAUGUCCAACACCUACACGUCUUUGUCCAUCCACCCCAGGGCACUGUCCCCAGUGAGGCCUGCCUUUCCAGUUGUCAUCCCUGGGGUUCCUCUGUCCUCGUCUCCCAUCUAGCCAGCCUGCCCGCUGUGGAGGAAUCCUGCUGCUCCCUGGCCCAGGUCUGAAAAGGCUCCGGGUCAGCAAGAUUUCUCCUGGAAAACAUAGACUCUGGUUCUGAGCCUCUUGGGCGAACACAUUUAACAAAGAAAGGAGCAGGGGCUGGCCCUGUGGCCAGGUGGUUAAGUUCACCCGCUCCACUUUGGCCGCCCAGGGUUUCACUGGUUUGGAUCCUGUGUGGGGACAUGGCACUGGUCAUCAGGCCAUGCCGAGGCAGCAUCCCACAUAGCACAACCAGAAGCACCUACAACUUGGAUAUAUAACUAUGUACUGGGGGCACUCUGGGGAGAAGAAGAAGAAGAAAAAGAAAAGAAGAUUGGCAACAGAUGUUAGCUCAGGUGAAGAAAAAAAGAAAGAAAGAAAGAAAGAAAGAAAGAAAGGGGAAAAGGAGGAAAGGAGCAAGGGCGGAAACGGGCAGAGGACAGUGGAGAUUAUCAGCUCAUGUUCCCUCGUCUUUCAUGUUCCCUCCUCUUUCGAGGGCUUCUUUGAGGCAACGUAAGGGAAAAGCCCUUUCAUGCCGUCUCUCCUGGAGCCCAGAGGAGAGAGCGCCCUCCUUUGCUCCUCAGCUGAGUGAACGAUCCACAACUCUGCUCUGUGGGUCUCUGCCUAAAUUAAGAGCGGUGCUUGUGAGAAGCAAAAGCCUGUGCGUGUGUGGGGUGCGGAGGAGGCAUCCCAGAGCCCCUGCUUGGCCCUGGUGCCCACUCUGCCCGAGGGCACUCGGGGAGGGGCUCAUUGCUGUCCGCAUGGGGAAGGAACCCCGAGCCCAGGGAUGCACAGCCCUCGCUGCCUCCCUUUCAGACCCAUGGCGCCGACGCUUGCGCACGUGUCUUUAAAGAAGCCGCUAUUGUCGGCUCUGCUGGGGGCAGAGGGUCGCGCCCUCCUGCCCAGGAGGUUUCCGGUCUAAGUAAAAGAGAC
ensembl:lncRNA